AGUAAUGACAUUGUAAAGCUUUGCAUGUAAGCUUUCUUCUCUCUUCUUUUCUUUUCUUAAAUUUUAUUUAUUUGUGUGUGUGUGUGUGUGCAAGUGUGCACACGUGCAUGCUUGUGCACCACACCUGUCAUUGUGUGAGUGUGAAGGUCUGGGGACAGUUUGCAGCAUUUCUUUCCACCCUGUAGGUCCUGGGGACUGAGCUGACAUCUUCAGAUGUUUAGGAUUUACCUGUAUUUACCAGGUUUUUAGACCUGGUCUUUCAUUUACAGAAGAGAAGGGUAUUUAUUUAAACGUUUAAAAUACUUUUCAUAUGUGUGAAUGCUUUGCCUUAGUGUAUAUCUGUGCACCAUGUGUGUGUAUAUUAGGUGCCUGUGAAGGCCAGAAGCUGCAGUCACAGGCUGUUGUGAGCUGCCCUGUGGGAGCCGAAGCUAGAUCUUCUGGAGGAGUCGCCUGUGCGCUCAACCGCUGACCCAUCUCUCUUGCCACCUACAAGUCUUAUUUUUGAACAUUGAAACACAAUAUGGCAUGACUUAUGCAUAUAAAAUAUCCCUCAAGUAUGUGUUCAUUGUAAUUUUUAAAAAUAAAAAAAUAGAUUAUG
rnacentral:lncRNA from 1 species